CUGUUAUUCAUGUCAGCAGCACACUUACCAAAAUUGAAACAAAACAAAGAAGGUUAGCAUGGAAACUGGUGAAAGUAUGAUAGAUUGGUGAAGUAUCCCAUAUUUUA
ensembl:snRNA U6 U6 spliceosomal RNA